UUUUGGCCCAGAUCUUUUACCGUGAAAAAAUUAGAGUGUUCAAAGCAGGCAGAUCCAAUUUUCUGCCACCGAAUACAUUAGCAUGGGAUAAUGGAAUAGGACCCUGUCCUCCUAUUUUCAGUUGGUUUUGGCAGCGCGAGGACUAGGGUAAUGAUUAAUAGGGAUAGUUGGGGGCAUUAAUAUUUAAUUGUCAGAGGUGAAAUUCUUGGAUUUAUGAAAGAUUAACUUCUGCGAAAGCAUCUGCCAAGGAUGUUUUCAUUAAUCAAGAACGAAAGUUAGGGGAUCGAAGACGAUCAGAUACCGUCGUAGUCUUAACCAUAAACGAUGCCGACCAGCGAUUAGGAGACGUUGAAUACAAAACACCACCAUCGGUUGCGCGGUCAUCCUUGGCGUCUCGGUUUCGGCCGGGGCGCGGGGAUGGCUUAGCACGUGUCACCCCA
rnacentral:rRNA from 1 species